rnacentral:rRNA from 1 species
UUAGAGGAAGUAAAAGUCGUAACAAGGUUUCCGUAGGUGAACCUGCGGAAGGAUCAUUAUUGAAAUAAACCUGAUGAGUUGCUGCUGGUUCUCUAGGGAGCAUGUGCACACUUGUCAUCUUUAUAUCUCCACCUGUGCACCUUUUGUAGACCUGGAUAUCUCUCUGAAUGCUAGUCACUCAGGUUUGAGGAUUGACUUUAUGUCUCUCCUUGCAUUUCCAGGCCUAUGUUUCUUUAUAUACCCAAUGUAUGUCAUAGAAUGUAAUCAAUGGGCCUUUGUGCCUAUAAACCUAUACAACUUUCAGCAACGGAUCUCUUGGCUCUCGCAUCGAUGAAGAACGCAGCGAAAUGCGAUAAGUAAUGUGAAUUGCAGAAUUCAGUGAAUCAUCGAAUCUUUGAACGCACCUUGCGCUCCUUGGUAUUCCGAGGAGCAUGCCUGUUUGAGUGUCAUUAAUAUAUCAACCUCUUCAAAUUUUGUUUGUCGGGUGUUGGAUUUGGGGGUCUUUUUUGCUGGUCUUGUAUCUACAGGUCAGCUCCCCUGAAAUGCAUUAGCAGAACAAUUUGUGAACCGUUCAUUGGUGUGAUAACUAUCUACGCUUUUGACGUGAAACAGGUUCAGCUUCUAACAGUCCAUUGACUUGGACAACUUUUCAUUAAUGUGACCUCAAAUCAGGUAGGACUACCCGCUGAACUUAAGCAUAUC